rnacentral:rRNA from 1 species
UACGAAGGGGGCUAGCGUUGCUCGGAAUCACUGGGCGUAAAGCGCACGUAGGCGGAUAUUAAGUCGGUGGUGAAAUCCUGGAGCUCAACUCCAGAACUGCCUCCGAUACUGAAUGUCUUGAGUCCGGGAGAGGUGAGUGGAACUGCGAGUGUAGAGGUGAAAUUCGUAGAUAUUCGCAAGAACACCAGUGGCGAAGGCGGCUCACUGGCCCGGUACUGACGCUGAGGUGCGAAAGCGUGGGGAGCAAACAGG